rnacentral:rRNA from 1 species
UACGAAGGGGGCUAGCGUUGUUCGGAAUUACUGGGCGUAAAGGGCGCGUAGGCGGUGUGUCAAGUCAGGCGUGAAAGCCCCGGGCUCAACCUGGGAACCGCGCUUGAGACUGGCACGCUAGAGUUCGGGAGAGGAUGGUGGAAUUCCCAGUGUAGAGGUGAAAUUCGUAGAUAUUGGGAAGAACACCGGUGGCGAAGGCGGCUAUCUGGACCGACAUUGACGCUGAGGCGCGAAAGCGUGGGGAGCAAACAGGG